rnacentral:lncRNA from 1 species
GUUCAAAUGUAGUGGAUGUAAGCAAUUAUAUAUAGGCAACCAUAUAAUCUUCAACAAUGAGAAAAAAACAUACGGUAUUGUCGGCUACAAUAGUCCAUGAAUUGAAAAAUAUGAAACAGUUCAAUUGAGAAAAAUAACGGCCUAUUUUAAAACAACAUGAAUUACGAAAAACACAUAUAAAAGACAUCAACAAACGAAAACCACUGAACUACAUGCUCCUGAGUUGGAGCAGGCACAUGCAAUAUAUUGUGGCGUUUAACAUGCUUGUAAACAGCCGGGACAGUUUUGUUACAGCACAGCAUAAGAACAAACUAUACAAAUCAGUGGAAAAGGGCUUAACGCAUGAGAUCGAUACAAAACAGAAGAAAAAAAAGGUCUAACAAAAACACAUACCGAAUGUGGCAGGGUAUUUUUACCUCGUUUUCAAACAAUCAAAGUACUGAAGUACUGAACAUCGAAUGACUGCAAGUUCUUUUGGAUUGUCACAAGCACUUGUCUCAGAAAAAAAAUCACA